AAGAGGGAGUGGAGGAGAAAGAGGGCGUGGAGGAGAAAGGAUAAAAAGAUUGGGAAAAAGUACAGGCCUAAUCGUUGUGCAUUGAAUUUAGAGUGUAAUGGAACAUUCACGUGUAGAAGUCUACUUGUUGCCAUGAUGUUGUGAACAGACAGAGUAAUACACAUUACUCACCAACUUUCAGGUACAGAAAAGAAAAUCGAUGAUAGAUGAGGUCUGUCAAGAGCCUGCUAUUGUCAUGGAUCAUAUUAGCAUGCCAUUAGUUAAUUGAGCCGUGACUAUGAUGAAGUAGCCAUAUGAUGUGCAGUCCCCUUGGUCCCACUCUGAUGGUAAAAAAAAAUGUUUCACUGGUACUCGCACACAGCCUCCUCAAAACCUGAAGCAGAGGACUCUGGGAAAAGCGAGAAGCCCUCUAGGAAAGUGGAGCGGAUGGAGGAAAAGAACGAGAAGACAACAGAGAAGGAGAGAUAUAAAGGUUAUAGCUUUCUAGCUGUGUAAAGUCAUUUGAGAAAGUGGGAAAAACAAUAUUCUCUUUCUAGCGUGACCUGUAGAUUCUAGCUCAUAUGGGGGGGGGGGCAAGGCGAAGUGAACAAAUUGUGAUGUGUCUGUUUUUUGGACCCUUUCUGACAUUCACAGUUCCCCCCCAACCUGAGGAAGAGGGCCCUGGAGAGAGUGAGGGAUUGAGAGAAAGGGAAGCAGUGGUGGAGAAAGAGAAGGAGAUUGAGGCAGAAGAGGAGACAGGAAAACCUUCUGAGAAAGAAGGAGAGCAAGAGGGGAAAGAGGAGGACACAGAAAGCAACCCUGAAGAGGAAGUUCCCAUACCCCCUGAAUGGGAAAUCUGGGGUCAGGAGACCUUAGAGCCCCCUGGGAGAGAGGAGAAGAAGAAGAAAAAGUGGGAGGAGGAAGAGAGUGAAGAGGAGGGAGAGUUUGCAAAAAAGAAAGGUAGAACUCAAGUACUGUACAUUGGCUAGUGUGUAGUGUACAUACCAUGUAGGCUAGGAUCCGGUAGACUCCACCUCUCCCAAGCCAUAUCCUUAAUACUGUAUAACUAGGUGAUGACCAACCCAUAAAGAUGAAACUAGCUGGUUUAGAACUGCCCUCAAGCAAGAUGUCUGACAAACUGUUUAAUUGCAGGACAUUGGGGCUCUGCUCCAUAACAUCACCCUUUCUAGAUGUAUAUCUGUAUGGACCUACCUCUCCAUACAAUGCAUUUGGAAAGGAUUCAGACCCCUUCACUUUUUCCACAUUUUGUUACGUUACAGCCUUAUUCUAUAAUGGAUUCAAUUGUUUUUUUCCCUCAUCAAUCUAACACAAUACCCCCUAAUUACAAAGAAAAAACAGAUUUUUAACUCAGUACUUUUUUUGAAGCACCUUGGGCUGUGAUUACAGCCUCGGGUCUUCUUGGGUAUGAUGCUACAAGCUUGGCACACCUGUAUUUGGGGAGUUUCUCCCGUUCUUCUCUGCAGAUCCUCUCAAGGAGUGUCGCUGCACAGCUGUUUUCAGGUCUCUCCAGAGAUGUUCGAUCGAGUUCAAGUCCGGGAUCUGGCAGGGCCACUCAAGGACAUUCAGAGACUUGUCCCGAAGCCACUCCUGCGUUGUCUUGGCUGUGUGCUUAGGGUCGUUGUCCUGUUGGAAGGUGAACCUUCAUGUGCCUUUUACUGAGGAGUUCCUUCUGGAAUGUUCUCCCAUCUCCACAGAGAAACUCUGGAGCUUUGUCAGAGUGACCAUUGGGUUCUUGGUCACCUCCCUGACCAAGGCCCUUCUCCCCCGAUUGCUCUGUUUGGCCGGGCGGCCAGCUCUAGGAAGGGUCUUGGUUGUUCCAAACUUCUUCCAUUUAGGAAUGAUGGAGGCCACUGUUCAUGGGGACCUUCAAUGCUGCAGACAUUUUUUGGUCACCUUUUCCCAGAUCUAUGCCUCGACACAAUCCUGUCUCGGAGCUCUAAGAUCAAUUCCUUCGACCUCAUGGCUUGGUUGUUUCUCUGACAUGCACUGUCAACUAUGGGACCUUAUAUAGACGGGUGUGAUCGUUUCCAAAUCAUGUCCAAUAAAUUGAAUUUACCACAGGUGGACCCCAAUCAAGAUGUAGAAACAUCUCGAUGAUGAACAGAAACAGGAUGCACUGGAGCUCAAUUUCGAGUCUCAUAGCAAAGGGACUGAAUACUUAAAUAUUUAUGUAAAUAAGGUACAUCUGUUUUUUUAUUUUUAACAAAUUAGCAAAAACCUUUUUUUGUUUUGUCAUUAUGGGGUAUUGUGUGUAGAUUGACUCAGGUUGGAUCCAGGAAACCCAUCUAAAACAAAGAUUCGUUCAUCUCCUAAAGGGAUUCUCAAGCUCUUGAUCUCAGGAGGAGAGCCUGAGGCCAGACAGUUGUAUGGGAUCAUAUACGAUGAUUUCAAAGGUAAGACACUGAACAAGAAUAGCUAGCAGGGGAGUGACUGAGGAUGCUUACAGGACACUGGAGCGCCAUGGAAUCCUCUUUUGUAGGCUUACCAUCAGUGGUGCUAG
rnacentral:lncRNA from 13 species